GAUGAACGCUGGCGGCGUGCCUAAUACAUGCAAGUCGAGCGAACAGACGAGGAGCUUGCCCCUCUGACGUUAGCGGCGGACGGGUGAGUAACACGUGGAUAACCUACCUAUAAGACUGGGAUAACUUCGGGAAACCGGAGCUAAUACCGGAUAAUAUAUUGAACCGCAUGGUUCAAUAGUGAAAGACGGUUUUGCUGUCACUUAUAGAUGGAUCCGCGCCGCAUUAGCUAGUUGGUAAGGUAACGGCUUACCAAGGCAACGAUGCGUAGCCGACCUGAGGGGGUGAUCGGCCACACUGGAACUGAGACACGGUCCAGACUCCUACGGGAGGCAGCAGUAGGGAAUCUUCCGCAAUGGGCGAAAGCCUGACGGAGCAACGCCGCGUGAGUGAUGAAGGUCUUCGGAUCGUAAAACUCUGUUAUUAGGGAAGAACAAAUGUGUAAGUAACUAUGCACGUCUUGACGGUACCUAAUCAGAAAGCCACGGCUAACUACGUG
rnacentral:rRNA from 1 species